rnacentral:piRNA from 1 species
UCCAACCUGCACUCGCUUGGGAACAAGAAGU